rnacentral:lncRNA from 1 species
UCUUCCUCCUCUAUAUCUUCUUUCUCUCCUAUUCUUCCUCCUAUUCCUCUUCAGAGAUCUCAGAGAGUCUAAGAGAUCUGAAGAAGAAAUCAGAAUUAAUUAUCAGGAGACGACUUUUGUAAGGGAGCUAGCACUCCGAUGAAAUCAAGAGCCUCUGAUUAGAUUGAAGACUUCGUAUAGAUAUUCAUAGAGAUCAGAUACGUGUGUGGCUUUACAAGAACCUCAUCGAUUUAUCACGAUCAUCAGCAGCAG